CUUUUUUAUCUCUAUUCGUCGCAAUCAAGUCAUUUUCUCUCCUUCUCACGCUGCUUCUCUCAGCUCGACCGGGAACCCGCGAAACUGAAAAACUCAAACACGGCCUCUCUCCUUCUUACUCAGCUCUUUCAGAUUUAUCCGAUUCUCACUCUCUCCUUCAUCUUCUCACUCUCUUGAUUCUUCUUCUUAGUCUCUACUUCAUCUUUGGUGUCCGGAUUAAUGGAGCUCUCCAACAAGCAGUAAAGCAUGUUUUCGAUUCGGAUAUUGAGCUAGUAAAACUAUGCAACAUAUAAUGCCAUAUCAAAUCUGUGUAGCACUGAGGCAAUCCAAUAUUUGUUGAAGCUUUGCAAGCAUGAGGAGGACUCGCAGGCUGAUGAUGGAGAUACAACUUUUACUUUAUUUGCAUCUCUACUUGACUCUGCUCUUCAAGGGUUGAUACCUUUUCCUGACCUGAUACUAAGACUUGAAGAAUCGUGCAUAAAUGUUUCAGAGUCAAUUAUGCAGUGUAAACUUCACCAAGAGUGCUGCAACAUAGAAUGCCAAAUUUGAGGCUACAAAAAGGUUUUUGUAGUAGGUUGAAGCUUUGGAAAGAUUCACAGAGACAAUAUCUUUUGGUGGAAUUAACUACGCCUUGUUGUCUUUUGAUACAGGUAUGGUUCCAACAUACGGCAUCAGAUUGUAGAAGAUAAGUUGAUGAGGCAGAAGGCUCAACUCUUACUUGAUGAGGCUGCUUCCUAGUCCCUCCUGUGUUACCUCUUUGGAAAAGGCUUUAUCAAUUUUGAAAUUGCAGAAGGGCAAUCAAAUGCCUGAAGAUUACCCCAGAUCUUUCAAACAAGCAGCUGCAGAAAACAAGAUAGUACUACGCCUAUAGGCAUACUUGGUCUUCUUUGCAGAAAUUAUGUCUUGCUUUCUUUAAUUAUGACCUAGAAAAUUCAUGGUACUAGAAUGCUAAAUAUUUUCUUAUCUUGUGGGUUUAUCUCAUAGGAAUUUAGGAUGGAUCUGAUGAAUAACUAGUUAUCUACACAAGUAUCUUAUUGAAACUCUUUUUGCAGGCUUUCAUUUUUGAUUUUCAACCUUAAGAUCCUAAAAAAAUAUUUUAGUUUGCAGGAUGAUAAUGAGUAUUCCCUUUCAAAAAUUUGGAGUAGAGACGUACAGUGUUGAAAAGGGAUUCACUCUCGGAUUACACUUUUGCUCUGAAUCCCUGUGUAUAAAACCAACAUCUCCAACUGCUUUCCAAUUUGAGAAGCCUCCAUCAAAGUCACCAUCUGCUUUCCAAUUCGAGAAGCCUCCCUGGGAGGAUUCGAAGUAGAACUAAGAUAAGUGAAAGAUGAAAGUGGCUUUGAUUGGUUCUGGUAUUAGUGGUUUUGUCUCAACUUAUUUUCUUGCAAAAGAAGGCGUUGAAGUGGUUCUAUAU